rnacentral:rRNA from 1 species
AUGGAUGCUUGCGAGGGUGUGGUUCCAAAAGAUUACCAUUAUGAUCAACUAAGGACUGUGGAAAAGGAAAAUGUACUAUUGGGUCAGCAGCUUAAGUCAAUGAAGAGGGACAAUGCAUCUCUGAAACAAGAGCUGAAAGAGAGCCUUGGAAAAAACAAGCUCCUGAGCAAAGGAUGGGAUGGAUCCUUGAGCACGGAACAGACCAUCGUGAGCAACCUUAACCAUCUGGUCCACAACAGGCUAAGCCCAGGGUCUACUCCAGAUUACCUGGAGCUCAAUAAUGUUCUUCUCAAUGUAGAGGCCAGCUGCGAAUACCUUCACCAGUACAUUGAUGAGGCCAUGGUCAACCUUCAAGAAACUGGUGUCUAUCCUUAUGGCCAGGAGCAGUCAACAGACAAUGAUGAGGACCUACCAACCUCACUUGAUGAUGAGCAGAUCUUCGACAACAAAGGACUGCUCUACUGA